AUUGAACGCUGGCGGCAUGCCUUACACAUGCAAGUCGAACGGCAGCACGGGAGCAAUCCUGGUGGCGAGUGGCGAACGGGUGAGUAAAGUAUCGGAACGUGCCCAGUCGUGGGGGAUAACGUAGCGAAAGUUACGCUAAUACCGCAUACGAUCUAUGGAUGAAAGCGGGGGAUCGCAAGAACUCGCGCGAUUGGAGCGGCCGAAAUCAGAUUAGGUAGUUGGUGGGGUAAAGGCUCACAAAGCCGACGUUCUGUAGCUGGUCUGGGAGGACGACCAGCCACACUGGGACUGAUACACGGCCCACACUCCUACGGGAGGCAGAAGUGGGGAAUGUUGGAAAAUGAGCGCAAGCCUGAUCCAGCCAUGCCGCGUGCAGGAUGAAGGCCUUCGGGUUGUAAACUGCUUUUGUACGGAACGAAAAGGUUUGACUUAAUGCGUUGGACUCAUGACGGUACCGUAAGAAUAAGCACCGGCUAACUACGUGCCAGCCGCCGCAGUAA
rnacentral:rRNA from 1 species